AGAGUUUGAUCCUGGCUCAGGAUGAACGCUGGCGGUAUGCUUUACACAUGCAAGUCAUACGGAAGUUAGUCUCGGCUAACUUCAGUGGCGGACGGGUGAGUAACACGUGAGAAUUCACCUUUAGGAGGGGGAUAACAGGGGGAAACACCUGCUAAAACCCCAUAUGCCUUCGGGUCAAAAGAGUAAUCUGCCUAAAGAGAAGCUCGCGGCUGAUUAGCUAGUUGGUAGGGUAAAGGCCUACCAAGGCGACGAUCAGUAGCUGGUCUGAGAGGACGAUCAGCCACACUGGAACUGAGACACGGUCCAGACUCCUACGGGAGGCGGCAGUGAGGAAUUUUCUGCAAUGGGCGAAAGCCUGACAGAGCAAUACCGCGUGAGGGAAGAAGGCUUACUGAGUUGUAAACCUCUGUUACCUAAGGAGGAAGAUCUGACGUUACUUAGGAGACGAAGCAUCGGCUAACUCCGUGCCAGCAGCCGCGGUAAGACGGAGGAUGCAAGUGUUAUCCGGAAUUACUGGGCGUAAAGCGUCUGCAGGUGGUUUCUUAAGUCCACUGUUAAACCUUGAGGCUCAACCUCAAUUCAGCAUUGGAAACUGGGAAACUUGAGUAUAGUAGGGGUAGAGGGAAUUUCCAGUGUAGCGGUGAAAUGCGUAGA
rnacentral:rRNA from 1 species